AUUAUGAAGCCUAACUUCAUGAAAAGUAAGAAAACUAUUAGACUUGAGUACGAUAGGGGUAAGAGGAAUUCUUCGAGAAGUAGUGAAAUGCGAAGAUACGAAGGAGAAGAUCAUAAGCGAAGGCUUCUUACUGGGUCGUAACUGACACUGAGAGACGAAAGCUAGGGGAGCGAAUGGGAUUAGAUACCCCAGUAGUCCUAGCUGUAAACGAUGGAUAUUCGGUGCCGGAUUUUAUUAGAACAUUUCGGUACCCUAGCUAACGCGUUAAAUAUCCCGCCUGAGGAGUACGCUCGCAAGGGUGAAACUCAAAGGAAUUGACGGGGGCUCGCACAAGCGGUGGAGCAUGUGGUUUAAUUCGAUGCAAAGCGAAGAACCUUACCAGGGCUUGACGGUAUGUAUAAAAGUCUUAACGGACUAUUUUAUAAAAUACAUAUACAGGUGGUGCAUGGCUGUCGUCAGCUCGUGUCGUGAGGUGUUGGGUUAAGUCCCGCAACGAGCGCAACCCUUGUUCGGAGUUAUAAGUAAUAUUAUUCUUCGAAAACUGCCUAAACAUAAUAAUGUAGGAGGAAGGCGAGGAUGACGUCAAGUCAUUAUGCCCCUUAUGCUCUGGGCUACACACGUGCUACAAUGGGAGGUACAAUAAAAAGGUCUCUUCGUAAGAAGAGGUGAAAUAAAAUAAACCCUCUCUUAGUUCGGAUCGUAGACUGCAACUCGUUUACGUGAAGUUGGAAUCGCUAGUAAUCGCCGGUCAGACAUACGGCGGUGAAUAUGUUCUCGAGCCUUGUACACACCGCCCGUCACGCCACGGGAAUUAAUCUCUCUGGAAAUCUUUGUUAAGAGAUGAUGGAAAGAUCGAUAACUGGGGUGAAGUCGUAACAAGGUAGC
rnacentral:rRNA from 1 species